rnacentral:rRNA from 1 species
GACGAACGCUGGCGGCGUGCUUAACACAUGCAAGUGGAGCGACGAACCAGGCUUCGGCCUGGGGCAGAGCCGCGAACGGGUGAGUAUCACGUGGGUAACGUACCCCGAUGACCGGGACAACCCGAGGAAACUCGGGCUAAUACCGGAUGUGCUGUACGGCCAUAAGGCCAUACAAAAAAGGAAGCUUCGGCCUCCGCAUCGGGAGCGGCCCGCGGCCCAUUAGCUUGUUGGUGAGGUAACGGCUCACCAAGGCUGUGAUGGUAGCUGGUCUGAGAGGACGAUCAGCCACACUGGGACUGAGACACGGCCCAGACUCCUACGGGAGGCAGCAGUGGGGAAUCUUGCGCAAUGCGCGAAAGCGUGACGCAGCAACGCCGCGUGAGGGAAGACGG